AUUUGGCAGGUGGACCUCACACACUUACCAGAAUUUGGAAGAUUUAAAUAUUUGUAUGUUACAGUUGAUACUUCUUCUGGAUUUUAGAUGGGCUCCCUUCAUGCCAGAGAAAAAAACUAAAGAUACUAUAGCUCAUUGCUUACAAAAUUUUGCCACUGUGGGCGUUCCAAAACAGUUAAAACAGAUAAUGCCCUUGGUUAUACUUCUACCUCUUUUAAACAAUUUUGCUCAUCAUUUGGCAUUACUCAUACAACAGGAAUCCCAUACAAUCCACAGGGACAAGGAAUAGUUGAAAGAGCUCAUCAAACUAUUAAAAUGUACUUAUUAAAGCAAAAAGAGGGAAUUGGAAAUGGGUAUAUAUUCCCCAAAGAUAAACUUAAAAUAGCCGUUUUUACUCUAAACUUUUUAAAUUUGGAUUCAUCAGGGCUUAGUGCUGUGGAAAGGCAUAUGUGUCCAAAAAAUGUACAUAAGCCCAACAUACUUUGGAAGGAUAUUCUAACAG
rnacentral:lncRNA from 1 species